CAGCAGCCGGUGGAUGACGGGAGUCGUGGUCCUGAUGAUGAAAAAACGUUUGAGACAAGCUAAUACUUAAAUGAGGACCUCCACAUGAAAAAGAUCAACCUAUGGCGCUGUUGCAGACGUCCACCUCCCAGUAAUACUGUCCUCUGGACACGCCCACGCUGCCGCACACCUGAGGAAGCGGACAGGAGCCCUGAUCGCUGCGGUCAUGUGAUGAGAUCAUGUGACCCGUGA
rnacentral:lncRNA from 1 species